GGGGGCAUAGCUCAGUUGGCUAGAGCAUCUGCUUUGCACGCAGAGGGUCGGGGGUUCGAGUCCCUUUGCCUCCACCA
rnacentral:tRNA from 1 species